CUGAAAAGCACUUGCUGCCUUCCAUCAAGAGGCAGAACAGAGAGAGAGAGAGAAUUUGGCUCUGUCGUAGUAAUGCAGGGUGAGGGAUGCAGGACAGAGGAGUGUGGCAGAAGCACUAGGAUGAUAAUUUUUGCACAGCUAGAAAUGCAGUGAGUAACCUAGUCUGUAAUUUAUACAAUUUGUGUCUUCUCCUUCUGUCAUUGGUUCUUUUUCUUUACAUCUCACCUUAAAGAUACUGUCUUUUGUAUGUAACCUGGGAUGCCACCAGCAUCCAGAAAAGCUGUGAUAUGGUCUGUACUUAAACAAGAAAAUGUCUUCAAAGCAGAAUGGGAAGUGAUGGACAGUUCAGAUUCUCAAAGAGACAAGACUUGCUUGGAUUUGUUCUACUUCACUUUUCUCUUCGUUGUCUGCAGAAAGAUCCUAGUGUGACUUGGAUGCUUGGAUGUAAAUGAAUAUCUUGCAGCAGUUACACAAAACUGAUGCGGUAACAACAACCCAGAGCCUGCUCUGCCAACAGCCCAUCUCCUUCUCCAAAGCUUCACCACCCAUGUGGGCCCUGACCUUUGACGUCUGCAGAUGGACCUCGCGCUCCUCAGCUCACACCUGUUGGUAGCCAGAGCCAACAAGAGUCAGGAGCAGCACCAGAAGAUCUCUUGGGAUAAGGAUGCUUAUGCCACCAAUUGGCUACAGCCACCCAAAGGGCAGAGAUUGGAGGAGGCACUGUGGUGAAUUUUUAAUUUGUUGUGGAUACAGAAGACAAGAGUUGGAACUGCUGUUCUGGAGAAGAUCUGUUAGCCAGAGCCCAACUAGGAACCAGUGGAGAAGCAGCUGAAGAACAAGAAAGCUUUAGGACAGGUGCACAGAGAAUCAAUAUGAACACAUAAAUAUCUACAUUGAGAGGAAACAAAACACGUAUGGGUUUGGUUUUGUUUGUUUGUUUUUGGGUUUGUUUGUUUUUGUUUUUGUUUGUCUUGAAAUAAGAAUGAAUAGAUUUAUUUACCACUGGUUUCAAGCUCUCACAAUGGAUUUAUCACCUGAAUUAAAAAUGCUGAAAAACUUCAAAAGAAUGUUUUUAUUGUUUUUGUCUCUAAAUAAAUGCAUAGCUGUGACUAUAACUUCAGCAAUGCCUUUGUAUAAACCCUGAAGAUACACAGCUGCCUGUUCUAGCCCCAAAAUAUUUUGUUUACAGUAGAAUGAAAUUUGUCAUGCAAAGAAAUCUUUACAUUUUUGUUUUGGCAUGUUUAUCAGUUAAAUUAACUUCUGACAAUAAACAUAAUCAUUCAUCUGUGGAAAAUGCCUACAUAAACUAAUGUACGAUAUCUUUAGGAGUAUUUAUAAUAUAUCUCCAGAGUGUUUCCGGGGUUUCUUGCCCCAGUUGAUCUUAUUUUGAGGUAUGCACUGGGGAGAUCUCACCUGGAGUACUGUGUCCAGGUGUGGAGUCUUCAGUGCAGGAGAGACAUGGACCUGUUGGAGUGUGCCCAGAGGAGGGCCACAAAAAUGAUUCAAGGGAUGGAACACCUCUCCUACAUGGACAGGCUGAGAGAGCUUGGGCUGUUCAGCCUGGAAAAGAGAAGGCUCCAGAAAAACCUGAUAGCAGCCUUUACGUAUUUAAAGGGGAGCAACAGGAAAAAAGGGGACAGACUCUUCAGCAGGGUCUGUUGCUACAGGACAAGGGGAAAUGGCUUCAAGAUCAAAGAGGGUAGAUUUAGGUUAGAUAUAAGGAAAAAGUAUUUUACAGUAAGGAUGGUGAGGCACUGGAACAGAUUGCCCAGUGAUAUCGUUGAUGCCCCAUCCCUGGAGACUUUAAAGGCGAGACUGGAUCAGUCUCUGGGCAAUCCGAUCUAGCUGUGCAUGUCCCUGUUCAUUGCAGGGGAGCUGGGCUAGAUGAUUUUAAUGGUCCCUUCCAACUCUAAGGAAUCUAUGAUUCUAUAAUACUUCACAGCUAUGAGAAGUAUUACAAAGGAAGCUAAAAUAGAUAAAGGUAGAAGGAUUCUGAAACAGUAAAAUUUGUGCAUGUACUCUGUAGAAACAGAAGUACAGCUUGAUCAUGCUUUUGGAGGUUGUGUUUCAAGUCUGGAAGUAAUUCCCUUUGGAAUUACAAAUUAUGCCAUGUUUUUACUUCAGGUUACUGAAUGUGGCAUUAUCUUCAUAAUCUGUUGCUAAUCAAAC
rnacentral:lncRNA from 1 species